AUUGAACGCUGGCGGCAGGCUUAACACAUGCAAGUCGAGCGGAGAUGAGGUGCUUGCACCUUAUCUUAGCGGCGGACGGGUGAGUAAUGCUUAGGAAUCUGCCUAUUAGUGGGGGACAACAUUCCGAAAGGAAUGCUAAUACCGCAUACGUCCUACGGGAGAAAGCAGGGGAUCUUCGGACCUUGCGCUAAUAGAUGAGCCCAAGUCGGAUUAGCUAGUUGGUGGGGUAAAGGCCUACCAAGGCGACGAUCUGUAGCGGGUCUGAGAGGAUGAUCCGCCACACUGGGACUGAGACACGGCCCAGACUCCUACGGGAGGCAGCAGUGGGGAAUAUUGGACAAUGGGGGGAACCCUGAUCCAGCCAUGCCGCGUGUGUGAAGAAGGCCUUAUGGUUGUAAAACACUUUAAGCGAGGAGGAGGCUACUGAGACUAAUACUCUUGGAUAGUGGACGUUACUCGCAGAAUAAGCACCGGCUAACUCUGUGCCAGCCGCCGCCGUAA
rnacentral:rRNA from 1 species